GGCGGCCUGGCUGAUGGUGCAGCGGGCCAUCUUCAGGCCCGACGGCAGCGUCAGGUUCGAAACCUCCGGCAGCGCC
rnacentral:tRNA from 1 species